rnacentral:rRNA from 1 species
GUUAGGAAUAUUGGACAAUGGGCGCAAGCCUGAUCCAGCCAUGCCGCGUGAGUGAUGAAGGCCUUCGGGUUGUAAAGCUCUUUAGCCGAUGAUUAUAAUGACUGUAGUCGGAAAAUAAGCCCCGGCUAACUUCGUGCCAGCAGCCGCGGUAAUACGAAGGGGGCGAGCGUUAUUCGGAAUCACUGGGCGUAAAGCGUGCGUAGGCGGCUUUGCAAGUUGGGAAUGAAAGCCCAGGGCUCAACCCUGGAAUUGCUCUCAAAACUGCAAGGCUCGAAUGCGGGAGAGGAUAGCGGAAUUGUCAGUGUAGCAGUGAAAUGCGUAGAUAUUGACAGGAACACCAGUGGCGUAAGCGGCUAUCUGGACCGAUAUUGACGCUGAGGCACGAAAGCGUGGGGAUCAAACAGGAUUAGAAACCCGUGUAGUCC